CAAGUCGAACGCGGUUUCCUCGCAAGGGGAAACUGAGUGGCGAACGGGUGAGUAACGCGUGGGUGACCUACCUUCGAGUGGGGGAUAACGUCCCGAAAGGGACGCUAAUACCGCAUGACAUCCUGUCCUUGAACGGAUGGAGAUCAAAGCUGGGGAUCGCAAGACCCGGCGCUUGAUGAGGGGCCCGCGUCCGAUUAGCUAGUUGGUGGGGUAAUGGCUCACCAAGGCGACGAUCGGUAUCCGGCCUGAGAGGGCGGACGGACACACUGGGACUGAGACACGGCCCAGACUCCUACGGGAGGCAGCAGUGGGGAAUUGUUCGCAAUGGGCGCAAGCCUGACGACGCAAUGCCGCGUGGAGGAUGAAGGUCUUCGGAUUGUAAACUCCUGUUGCCAGGGACGAAUAGCUUCGACCUAACACGUCGAAGUAUGACGGUACCUGGUGAGGAAGCCCCGGCUAACUCUGUGCCAGCAGCCGCGGUAAUACAGAGGGGGCAAGCGUUGUUCGGAAUUACUGGGCGUAAAGGGCGCGUAGGCGGCCUGCUAAGUCGAACGUGAAAUCCCCGGGCUCAACCCGGGAACUGCGUCCGAUACUGGUUGGCUUGAAUCCGGGAGAGGGAUGUGGAAUUCCAGGUGUAGCGGUGAAAUGCGUAGAUAUCUGGAGGAACACCGGUGGCGAAGGCGGCAUCCUGGACCGGUAUUGACGCUGAGGCGCGAAAGCCAGGGGAGCAAACGGGAUUAGAUACCCCGGUAGUCCUGGCCCUAAACGAUGAAUGCUUGGUGUGGCGGGUAUCGAUCCCUGCCGUGCCGAAGCUAACGCAUUAAGCAUUCC
rnacentral:rRNA from 1 species